AAGGGUGAGUAAGGCGACGGUAACCAACCCCACGGUUGGGUAUAGCCGCGGGAAACUGCGGGUAAUCCCCAGCGACGUAAGAUGCCGGCAUCGGUGUUUUAUCAAAGCUUUGGCGCCGUGGGACGGGCCGUUGUGGUAUUAGGUUGUUGGCGGGGUAACGGCCCACCAAGCCUGUGAUGCCUACCGGGCGUGCGAGCGUGGCCCGGCACACUGGGACUGAGACACUGCCCAGACUCCUACGGGAGGCUGCAGUCGAGAAUCUUCGGCAAUGGGCGCAAGCCUGACCGAGCGACGCCGCGUGGAGGAUGAAGGCCUUCGGGUUGUAAACUCCUGUCGAGGGGGAGGAAGGCGAAAGCUUGACCGAUCCCUGGAGGAAGCACGGGCUAAGUUCGUGCCAGCAGCCGCGGUAAGACGAACCGUGCGAACGUUAUUCGGAAUCACUGGGCUUAAAGCGCGUGUAGGCGGAUGGGAACGUCGGUGACUGAAAGCCCCCGGCUCAACCGGGGAAGUGGUGCCGAAACGACCUGUCUGGAGGGACGUAGGGGGACCUGGAACUUCCGGUGGAGCGGUGAAAUGCGUUGA
rnacentral:rRNA from 1 species